rnacentral:rRNA from 1 species
UACAGAGGGUGCGAGCGUUGUCCGGAAUUACUGGGCGUAAAGGGCUCGUAGGCGGCCAACUAAGUCGGAUGUGAAAUCCCCAGGCUCAACUUGGGAACUGCAUCCGAUACUGGAUGGCUUGAAUUCGGGAGAGGGAUGCAGAAUUCCAGGUGUAGCGGUGAAAUGCGUAGAGAUCGGGAGGAAGGCCGGUGGCGAAGGCGGCGCUCUGGAACAUUUCUGACGCUGAGGCUCGAAAGCGUGGGGGAGCAAACAGG